rnacentral:rRNA from 1 species
AUAAUGGGUCAGCGACUUAUAUUCUGUAGCAAGGUUAACCGAAUAGGGGAGCCGAAGGGAAACCGAGUCUUAACUGGGCGUUAAGUUGCAGGGUAUAGACCCGAAACCCGGUGAUCUAGCCAUGGGCAGGUUGAAGGUUGGGUAACACUAACUGGAGGACCGAACCGACUAAUGUUGAAAAAUUAGCGGAUGACUUGUGGCUGGGGGUGAAAGGCCAAUCAAACCGGGAGAUAGCUGGUUCUCCCCGAAAGCUAUUUAGGUAGCGCCUCGUGAAUUCAUCUCCGGGGGUAGAGCACUGUUUCGGCAAGGGGGUCAUCCCGACUUACCAACCCGAUGCAAACUGCGAAUACCGGAGAAUGUUAUCACGGGAGACACACGGCGGGUGCUAACGUCCGUCGUGAAGAGGGAAACAACCCAGACCGCCAGCUAAGGUCCCAAAGUCAUGGUUAAGUGGGAAACGAUGUGGGAAGGCCCAGACAGCCAGGAUGUUGGCUUAGAAGCAGCCAUCAUUUAAAGAAAGCGUAAUAGCUCACUGGUCGAGUCGGCCUGCGCGGAAGAUGUAACGGGGCUAAACCAUGCACCGAAGCUGCGGCAGCGACGCUUAUGCGUUGUUGGGUAGGGGAGCGUUCUGUAAGCCUGUGAAGGUGUACUGUGAGGUAUGCUGGAGGUAUCAGAAGUGCGAAUGCUGACAUAAGUAACGAUAAAGCGGGUGAAAAGCCCGCUCGCCGGAAGACCAAGGGUUCCUGUCCAACGUUAAUCGGGGCAGGGUGAGUCGACCCCUAAGGCGAGGCCGAAAGGCGUAGUCGAUGGGAAACAGGUUAAUAUUCCUGUACUUGGUGUUACUGCGAAGGGGGGACGGAGAAGGCUAUGUUGGCCGGGCGACGGUUGUCCCGGUUUAAGCGUGUAGGCUGGUUUUCCAGGCAAAUCCGGAAAAUCAAGGCUGAGGCGUGAUGACGAGGCACUACGGUGCUGAAGCAACAAAUGCCCUGCUUCCAGGAAAAGCCUCUAAGCAUCAGGUAACAUCAAAUCGUACCCCAAACCGACACAGGUGGUCAGGUAGAGAAUACCAAGGCGCUUGAGAGAACUCGGGUGAAGGAACUAGGCAAAAUGGUGCCGUAACUUCGGGAGAAGGCACGCUGAUAUGUAGGUGAAGUCCCUCGCGGAUGGAGCUGAAAUCAGUCGAAGAUACCAGCUGGC